rnacentral:rRNA from 1 species
UACGUAGGGUGCGAGCGUUGUCCGGAAUUACUGGGCGUAAAGAGCUCGUAGGUGGUUUGUCGCGUCGUUUGUGUAAGUCCACGGCUUUAACUGUGGGAUGGCAGGCGAUACGGGCAUACUUGAGUGCUGUAGGGGAGACUGGAAUUCCUGGUGUAGCGGUGAAAUGCGCAGAUAUCAGGAGGAACACCGAUGGCGAAGGCAGGUCUCUGGGCAGUAACUGACGUGAGGAGCGAAAGCAUGGGGUAGCGAACAGG